CGGGGGAGCAAGCGUUGUUCGGAUUUACUGGGCGUAAAGGGCGCGUAGGCGGCGCAACAAGUCACUUGUGAAAUCUCCGGGCUUGACCCGGAGCGGCCAAGUGAUACUGUCGUGCUAGAGUGCGGAAGGGGCUACUGGAAUUCUCGGUGUAGCGGUGAAAUGCGUAGAUAUCGAGAGGAACACCUGCGGCGAAGGCGGGUAGCUGGGCCGACACUGACGCUGAGGCGCGAAAGCCAGGGGAGCGAACGGGAUUAGAUACCCCGGUAGUCCUGGCCUUAAACGAUGGAUGCUUGGUGUCCGGGGUUACAUAGUCCCCGGGUGCCGGCGCUAACGCAUUAAGCAUCCCGCCUGGGGAGUACGGUCGCAAGACUG
rnacentral:rRNA from 1 species